rnacentral:sRNA from 1 species
CAUCCUCCAUCUGCUGCGGACAGAUGUAAUGGAUAUGGCUGUCGAACCCGCCCGCCGUCAGGAUGCGCCCCUCGCCCGCGAUCACCUCGGUCCCCGGUCCGACGAUAAUGCUGACACCGGGUUGCGUGUCGGGAUUGCCCGCCUUGCCGAUGGCAUGGAUGCGCCCGUCGCGCAGACCCACAUCGGCCUUGUAGAUGCCCGUCCAGUCCACGAUCAGGGCAUUGGUGAUGACCGUAUCGACGGCCCCGCCUGCGCGCGUCACCUGGCUUUGGCCCAUCCCGUCGCGGAUG